CCUACGUGAUGCAGCAGUGGGGAAUAUUGCACAAUGAGGGGAACCCUGAUGCAGCGACGCCGCGUGAGUGAAGAAGUAUUUCGGUAUGUAAAGCUCUAUCAGCAGGGAAGAACAUGACGGUACCUGACUAAGAAGCCCCGGCUAACUACGUGCCAGCAGCCGCGGUAAUACGUAGGGGGCAGGCGUUAUCCGGAUUUAAUGGGUGUAAAGGGAGCGCAGACGGCUGUGCAAGUCUGGUGUGAAAGGCGGGGGGCCAACCCCCGGACUGCUCUGGAAACUGGAAAGCGGGAGUGCAGGAGAGGUAAGCGGAAUUCCUAGUGUAGCGGUGAAAUGCGUAGAUAUUAGGAGGAACACCAGUGGCGAAGGCGGCUUACUGGA
rnacentral:rRNA from 1 species